rnacentral:lncRNA from 1 species
UCCAGUAGAAUACGUGCUUCGAGCAGUGCACAUAUGGGAUGUAUCAUGUGUAUGUAUUUGUCCUUAUCUUAAACGUGUUUUAAGCAGUUCAUCAUAGAUAUGCACCCACUUCUACCUCAAACUCUCUUUGCUCCUUUUUAUAUAUUGCAUUUAUUGUAAGUAGGCUUGUUAUUGCAUUCCAGUCAUUCUUUUCUUUGAACCUCUCCGUGUGUCCUGUUUUUCAUAAUGAAAUAUGCUUGCUUUCUCCGUUUCCUCUACUGCUAGUUAUUAUCAAAUUCCACCACCAAUAAUCAUAGUUCUUUGGGAGCCAAGGUCUCCCACCCAACAAAUAAGAUACUGACCCAACACUUAUUGUCAAUCUUAAAUGUAGGCGCUUUUGACCAUAUACGAGGUGAGAAUGUAUUCUUCUCCAAGAAGAGUUAUUAAAGCGCGCAUCAAAAACUUGGUCAAUGACUUCAGUUCUCCUAAGCUAAACCCUCAGGUUCUAAACUUGGUUUGUCAAAUCAACAGACGUCCUCUCACUUAAACAUGUUAAUCAAAAUUUGUAAGAGAAGUUCCGUCAGGAGAUGUCUCCUUUCCACCUUUAGUUGUUCCAAGGAUAUCAAGAACGGAAAACAUAUGUGUAAGUGAAAAUGUAGCAAUAAGUUUUUUCUCUACUUCCAAAUUUUCCUAGACGAACGUCAUCCUAUAUGAAGGAAAGAGUACAUGUCGUCCAGGGUUGCUGGUCCCCGGAAGAUGAAGGAUCGGAUAUUCCAUUUAAGCUCAUAUAUACAUGAAAAUCAUUUAUGUCUAGCUUUCCGGACAAGGCGAUCCAACUACAAAGGUCUGUAAUGCAUUAGCUUUAAUAAGCACCCUAGUUUCAUUGCUGCGGAAAGGAUGAGCCAGUGCCCAGGACGGAAAGCUCUACAUAAAUGUCAAUCACACAUGAGCUUAAAUAACAAAUCAAUUUGAUGCUUCUGGGUCAUAUGAGUCAAUGCUCAUCACUUGUAGGAAUGUCCAGUCUUUCAUCUUCUGAGGACCAGCAACUUUGAACGGCAUGUUUUCUUCAGGUCAGAUAGGGAGAAGUUCUUCCAGGAAGAUUUGAAGUGGCAGAGAUCUGUUGCUACAUUUUGUUGAAGUAUUAAGUUAUUUGCUCUUAUUUUUCAUUUUAGUUUAGUAAUUUUAUUUUUGAAAUUCAGUUAUUUAAGUUGAUAUAGAAUAGGAUUUAUUAGUAUCCUAAUCGAAGGUGACUAGGAUUUUAUUAGUUUCCUAAUUAGAAAUAGAA